UACGAAGGGGGCUAGCGUUGUUCGGAAUUACUGGGCGUAAAGGGCGCGUAGGCGGUACUUCAAGUCAGGCGUGAAAGCCCCGGGCUCAACCUGGGAACCGCGCUUGAGACUGGAGAACUAGAGUUCGGGAGAGGAUGGUGGAAUUCCCAGUGUAGAGGUGAAAUUCGUAGAUAUUGGGAAGAACACCGAUGGCGAAGGCAGAUCUCUGGGCCAUUACUGACGCUGAGGAGCGAAAGCGUGGGGAGCGAACAGG
rnacentral:rRNA from 1 species